GAAUGAAGGUAGCAUGGUACUGUACACGAAAACUGAACUUAUGGAUCGACAUGUCUGCCAUCUCUGAGUUUAAUAUAUGAUUAGACGGCCUGGUUUAGAUCCACAUUA
rfam:Brassica napus, WGS project CCCW01000000 data, contig: 18345